CGGCACAUGGUAUUCCUUAAUUUUCAAGUUGUUGGAGGAAGACUGCUUUGGUUAUGUCAGGCUUGUUUGCUUGUGUAAAUAAUAGUGUUUUGGACUUCAAAUAGCCUGUUGUGAAAACUGAUUUUUACAUAGUUCAAGCAGCAGCCAACUUCUUUGUGUAAUCUGGAAGUGAUUAUUUGAAUGUUAGCAAUCAAAUAUUUUGUACUUUUGUUUGCAAUGGUUUUGUAUCAGCUAUUGGAAUUGAGUGUAGUAGGGGGGGAUACAUGCUGGAAAACUAAACCACAUAGUCAUUUAAAAUGUAGUCAAUUCUGGUUUUAAUAUCCUUUGCACUCUUGAAUUUUUUUAAGGAGGUAAAUUGUGCAAUGAUUGAAUCUUGCACUCUGCAGCUUUACUAGAAUAAAAUGAAGAACUAAGUUGUCACUGU